rnacentral:lncRNA from 1 species
GUCAGAUUUUGGCUUGUUUUGGUAGCUGAAGCAGCUCAGAAACGAAGAGUUUUUGGAGAUUUAAGGAGCUCCUCAAAUAAGAACCUUUGAAAUUGGAACUCAAGUGAAUCACCUGGACUGAGCUUCCAAAGAAGAUAGGGAAACUUAUGGAAGGAUAGAUUUACAUUUGUUUUUUUCCUUAAUGUCUAUGAAACGAACGGUAUCACAGAGACCAGCUUACUGGAGCUCCUCUCUAGGGACUGGCCUGAGUCUCCAGAGAACAUCAAAGACAUUUUUUUCCCCAGCCAGAGCAAAUUCUGUUCAUCAUGGAUGGCUUUGAGCAACUGAAGUUUGACUUGGAACUUAAGGCUGACUUGUGUGAUGACUGGAGGCAGCAGCAGCCAACACAAAUUAUCCUGAGCAGUUUGUUGCAAAAAAAGAUGAUUCCAGAAUCCUCUCUGCUUAUUGCAUUAGGAAAAGUGGGUAUGCAAAAAAACUAUUUUAUGUUGUAGCAUCCAAAACUCAUAAAGCUCCCAGGAUUCACUGAACUUGAAAGGAAGCUGUAUUUCUCCUACUUCUUCAGCGAGAAGAAUAAAGCCUUGAAGGCCUUCCAUUUUGUGAGAGAUACUGGACAGCGGUUUAUCUUGUGCCAUAAUCCCUUUAUAUGCUGGUUGGUCUGUACUUGUAUGAAAUGGCAGCUAGAAAGGGGAGAAGACCUUGAAAUAAACUCCCAAAACACCUUCAUUCAUUUGUUAAAAAUGAAUGCAUCAUUUUUAACAAAUGUAUUUAAAGCAGGAAGUCAGAGUUUUCCACCUAAGGUGAACAGAGCCCGACUAAAAAGCCUGUGUGCUUUGGCUGCAGAGGGAAUUUGGACACAUGCAUUUGUAUUUUGCCAUGGGAUCUCUGGAGGAAUGGGUUAUCUGAGUCUGAGGGCUUAAUGUGGGUGGGUAUGAAACUUCUCCAAAGGUGAGGUGAGUGUUUUACCUUCAUCCAUGUAUGUAUCCAAGAGUUUUGUGCCACCAUGUUUUAUUUGCUCAAACGACCCAAAGAUGAUCCUAACCCAACCAUUGGAAGCAUAACCCAGCUUGUAAGAGCAAGUGUGGCUCAGCCUCAAACCCACUCGACCCAGGUGGGGGUAUUCGUGUUUGGAAUUUCAACAGAAGAAAUCAUCAGCUUGCUGGAGACAUCCUUUGGUUUUCCACUGUUAAAAGACCUAAAGAAGGAAAUAACCCAGUGCCUUAAAAGUUUAAGUCAAUGAGAAGCUGAUAGGGAAGUGAUAGGUUUCCAGGAAUUAUUCCAUGAUUUAUUUGCAACUCAGGAAAAAGAAUUUGUAACAGAAGUGAUAAAUUUCUUUGAAGAAGUUUUCAUUUGUACUGGUAACAUAGAACAUUUGGUAGUAUCUUCAUUCUGCCGGAAGCAUUGUCAAAAUUUAACUACACUUCGCAUGUGUGUAGAGAAUAUUUUCCAGAUUUCUCAGGAUGCAUCUCAGAUCACAAUGCGAAGCUCAUCUACUGGCGGGAGCUUUGCUUAAUGUUCAGUACCAACAAGAACUUCCAGAUGAUAGACAUGGAAAACAGUAGCCUCGGUGAUGCCUCCCUGGCAAUUCUUGGCAAAGCGCUGGCUCAGCCUGUUGUAAGCCCCAAAAACCCAAAUUUACUUUUAUGUCUAACUUUGGAAAUGAUUCAGAAUUAUUUAAGGCAGUUCUUCACGACCCUCAUCUGAAACUUCUGAGCCUGUAUGGCACUAGCCUCUCCCAUACUGAUGUCAGCCACCUGUGUGAGACAUUGAAGCACACAACAUGCAAGAUAGAAGAGCUGAUGCUGGGAACAUGUGACAUCUCCGAUGAAGGUUGUGAAGACAUCGCCUCUGUCCUGGCCUGCAACAGCAAGCUGAUACAUCUCUCCUUGGUAGAAAAUCCCGAAAAGGACAAAAGAAUGAUGUUGCUGUGCCCUGGAGACGCUGAUGUUGAUGUACUGCUGUCUCAUCUGUGUCUCCUGUGAAGACAUUUCCCACGUCCUUUUCUGCAGUAAAUCCCUGUCCCUCCUUGACCUGGGGUCAAAUUUCCUGGAAGAUAAUGAAGUGGCAUCUCUGUGUGAAGCACUGAAGCACUAAGACUGAAACAUACAGGAGUUGUUGUUGAUGGACUGUUUCCUUACUUCCGUUUCCUAUAGGGACAUUGCUGCUGUUCUUAUUUGCAAUGAAACACUGAAGACCCUGAAACUUGGGCAUGAUGAAAUACGAGGCGCUGGUGUCAAACAGUUAUGUGAUGCUUUGAAGCACCCUCACUGUAGAUGAGAGUGUCUUGCACUGCAAACAUAGCCGAUCACCCGUGCCUGCUGUGAAGACCUUGCUGUGGCACUCACUGCCUGCAAAACAUGGAGGAGCCUGAACUUCGACUGGGUUGGUUACCUUGGAUGCUGAUGUGGUGGUGGUGCUGUGUGAGGCUUUGAGCCACCCGGACUGUGCACUGUGGAUGCUUGGUGUCACUGUAGCUGAAAGGAAACUUAACCAUCUUCCCUACAUCGGAAGAUUUAAGGCUGCACAAAUCUGCCUUUGAUGAAAAAAAAAAAAAAAACUCAGAAGAGGCUGAUGUCUGUGGAAGAAAAAAUUCCCCACCUGACCAAUUCACACGAACCUUGGACCAAUGAGGAAUACAAGAUCAGGGGUGUGCUCCUC